GACGGAUCCAUCCGGCCAGGGGGAGGGGCCGAGCCCGGCUGCAUGUAACACCCGGAAGGCGGCGGAGGACAGCAAGGUGGCUGGCCGGCAGGCCAAUGGCGGCCAACGCCACUUCCGGCCGCCCUCCGAGCAUCGCUCUUCGGCAACCCGAAGCCACAGGAUGGAGGAGGGGGAUCCCAGCAAAGAUCCCAGUUUCUGACCUGUAGCAUAGUCCCUCUCUCUGAAGAACUUCCUGUAAUAUUUUUUGCUAGGAAGAGUUUGAAGUUUGAAAUCCCAGAAUGAGGAAAUUCAUCCAGCUUGGAGACUUCCAAUCCCUUCAUUGUGCAGAAGGUUGCUAAUGCUCUCAGGAGAAGCCCUUCACCAAGAGAAUACUUCCACAUAGAGUCCUCUCCAUUGAGACUAAGGAAACAUGCUAUGUCAUGUAGCCACAGCAGCCUUUGCAGCUGUUGAAGGCAGCAAGACUUGCAUGGCAAUCAGAAGACACAGAACCAAGACUCAUAUCCAGUUAUAAGAUGGCAGAUGGGACACACACUCAUCAGGCUUAGUGAGCAGCCAAUCCAGAGGGAACCAUACUCAGCCCUAGGGGCUGGGCGCGGUGGCUCUCGCCUGUAAUCCCAGCACUUUGGGAGGCCAAGGCGGAUGGAUCACCUGAGGUCACGAGUUCAAGACCAGCCUGACCAACAUGGAGAAAUCCCAUCUCUACUAAAAAUACAAAAUUAGCUGGGCAUGGUGGUGCAUGCCUGUAAUCCCAGUUACUCGGGAGGCUGAGGCAGGAGAAUCACUCGAACCCGAGAGGCAGAGGUUGUGGUGAGCUGAGAUUGUGCCAUUGCACUCCAGUCUGGGCAACAAGAGUGAAACUCUGUCUCAAAAAAAAAAAAAAAAAAAAAAAGCCCUAGGAAGAUUUCUUCAAACAGAUGAAGCUAAUGAUAUCCCCAGUGUGUUUGAAUAUAUUGAGAGAUCACACAAUAGGGACACUGUUUAGGGUUGAAUUAAUAGCAAGCAAA
rnacentral:lncRNA from 1 species